rnacentral:rRNA from 1 species
UGACCGCUGGCGGUAUGCUUAACACAUGCAAGUCGAACGGUCACUUCGGUGAUAGUGGCGGACGGGUGAGUAACGCGUGAGAAUCUGUCUUCAGGUCGGGGACAACAGUUAGAAAUGACUGCUAAUACCGGAUGUGCCUUUGGGUGAAAGAUUUAUUGCCUGAAAAAGAGCUCGCGUCAGAUUAGCUAGUAGGUGGUGUAAGAGACUACCUAGGCUCCGAUCUGUAGCUGGUCUGAGAGGACGAUCAGCCACACUGGAACUGAGACACGGUCCAGACUCCUACGGGAGGCAGCAGUGGGGAAUUUUCCGCAAUGGGCGAAAGCCUGACGGAGCAAUACCGCGUGAGGGACGAAGGCUUUUGGGUCGUAAACCUCUUUUCUCAAGGAAGAUGAUGACGGUACUUGAGGAAUAAGCAUCGGCUAACUCUGUG